AAUGCCCCUUCCCUCUGGAUACUGGACUGGGUCUUUUUCUUGUCUGCGCUACUCUAGAGUCAAGGCACUGUUUCCUCUGUUGCAGUCUCGCUGCUAUUCCAGCUAGUGUCCNNNNNNCUUCGCCCCCGCCGUCUCCGGCGCCGGAGCUGCUGCUGCAACCUUCUUUACACAUCCUCUACACGCUCUGCACCCCGACCACAAACCACCACAAAGAUAUUUUAUCGUGCCUGUAAUUCCAACUUGUGGAGUAUGGACCGGUUAGCCAUAUCCUUUCUUCUAUUGGUUCCUGAAAUUUCUAUAUAAACAUAGGAACAACCCAAUCGACAACUUAAACAUUCGAAGCUUAGAAAGACUCUGAACAAAGAUGGCUGGUCAAGAAAAAACUCUAGUGGAAAUCUUAGAAGAGAAUAACCCUAUUGAUCUUUCCAAAUACAUAAACUAUGUCAGUGCUCCACAGGCUGGUGCCAUAGCUACAUUUUCAGGCACAACUCGGGACACA
rnacentral:misc_RNA from 1 species